UAAUUACUCCCUCCGUCCGGAAAUACUUGUCGCACAACUAGAUAAAAUUGAAUGUAUCUUGAACUAAAAUACAUCUACAUACAUCCAUUUCCCCGACAAGUAUUUCCGGACGGAGGGAGUAUAUU
rfam:Triticum aestivum genome assembly, contig: Triticum_aestivum_CS42_TGACv1_scaffold_438142_5DL